rnacentral:rRNA from 1 species
UACGUAGGGGGCAAGCGUUGUCCGGAUUUAUUGGGCGUAAAGAGCGUGUAGGCGGCCAGGUAGGUCUGCUGAGAAAACUCGAGGCUUAACCUCGAGCUGUCGGCGGAAACCAUCUGGCUAGAGUCCGGAAGAGGAGAAUGGAAUUCCCGGUGUAGCGGUGAAAUGCGCAGAUAUCGGGAAGAACACCCGUGGCGAAGGCGGUUCUCUGGGACGGUACUGACGCUGAGACGCGAAAGCGUGGGGAGCGAACAGG